UACUCUUGCCGCGGGAGCUUUGUGACGUGGGUAUUGGCUGAGAGAUUAAAGAGUCGAAAGAUUCUUUGUUGACCGUUCGAACCUGAACAUGGUAAUGCAUGCGAAAGGGAAGGUGAGAUGUGUCACGG
rnacentral:ncRNA from 1 species